UCGGAAUCACUGGGCGUAAAGGGAGUGUAGGCGGACCGGUAAGUCAGGAGUUAAAUGUACGGGCUCAACCCGUGAUCUGCUUUUAAUACUGUCGGUCUUUGAGUAUGGGAGAGGGAGAUGGAAUUCCAAGUGUAGCGGUGGAAUGCGUAGAUAUCUGGAAGAACACCAGUUGCGAAGGCGGUCUCCUGGACCAAUACUGACGCUGAUGCUCGAAAGCUGGGGGACCGAACAGGAUUAGAUACCCUGGUAGUCCCAGCCGUAAACGAUGGACACUAGUUGCCGGAGGAGUCUAUCCCUUCGGUGACGAAGCUAACGCAUUAAGUGUCCCGCCUGGGGAGUACGCUCGCAAGGGUGAAACUCAAAGGAAUUGACGGGGGCCCGCACAAGCGGUGGAGCAUGUGCUUUAAUUCGAUGCAACGCGAAGAACCUGACCUGGGUUUGACAUGGCGGGUGAAAGUUUCCAGAGAUGGAAGCCUUUCCUUCGGGAACACCCCACACAGGUGCUGCAUGGUUGUCGUCAGCUCGUGUCGUGAGAUGUUGGGUUAAGUCCCGCAACGAGCGCAACCCCUGCCCUUAGUUGCCAUCAGGUAAAGCUGGGAACUCUAAGGGGACAGCUUGGUAUAACCAGGAGGAAGGUGGGGAUGACGUCAAAUCAUCAUGGCUCUUACGCCCAGGGCUAGACACGUGCUACAAUGGCAGGUACAGUGGGAUGCCAGCCUGCGAAGGUGAGCUAAUCCCCUAAAACCUGUCUCAGUCCGGAUUGGAGUCUGCAACUCGACUCCAUGAAGUUGAAUCGCUAGUAAUCCG
rnacentral:rRNA from 1 species